CCUACGGGGUGCAGCAGUGGGGAAUAUUGGACAAUGGGCGAAAGCCUGAUCCAGCCAUGCCGCGUGUGUGAAGAAGGCCUUCGGGUUGUAAAGCACUUUCAGUGGGGAAGAAAGCCUUGGGGCUAAUACCCUCGAGGAAGGACAUCACCCACAGAAGAAGCACCGGCUAACUCCGUGCCAGCAGCCGCGGUAAUACGGAGGGUGCGAGCGUUAAUCGGAAUUACUGGGCGUAAAGCGCGCGUAGGCGGUCUGAUAAGCCGGUUGUGAAAGCCCCGGGCUCAACCUGGGAACGGCAUCCGGAACUGGCAGGCUAGAGUGCAGGAGAGGAAGGUAGAAUUCCCGGUGUAGCGGUGAAAUGCGUAGAGAUCGGGAGGAAUACCAGUGGCGAAGGCGGCCUUCUGGACUGACACUGACGCUGAGGUGCGAAAGCGUGGGUAGCAAACAGGAUUAGAUACCCUAGUAGUC
rnacentral:rRNA from 1 species